CCUGACUAUUCUUCCUCUCUUUCCAUGAUGUAACUCCCUUUGCCCCACCCCAAAACCCUAUCAGGAGAACUAGGAUGAAUUUGCUGAAGAUUUGGGGCUGUCAUAGUGAACUGCAAUGAGCAGGAAAGAUUUCUUUAAAACAGUGAGAGGCACCAUACAUGAAGGACCAUCCACUCUCACUUAAUGUUCUCAGUCAAUUUAAAGUUAUUCUAUUCUGUCAUGCCUAUUCAAGCCAUGAUGUUCAAGAAAUUUCAUCAGCCCACCAGCGAAUCCUUGGCUGAGGGGACAGAAGCAGUAGGGAGGGGGGUAUUUAUGGUAGGCAGGAAAAUUGCUUAUUUCAAGUAUCCCUUAUGCUCAUGCAAUGUUGGCUCGAACCCAUCCAUAAUCUGAACUGUUGCCAUAGCAGCAUGAUGGUAGUAAAUCUUCAUCUAAGGUAUGGAAUAUGCUAAAAUUUAAUCAUUUUAGUCUAAGUAGUUUGGGAAAACUCUGGUUACCAGAACGUCAGGAUAAAUUUCCAGCAUGGAAUCAUUGCUGUAUCACAGUUAUGACAUGUGGGCAGUGAAGCGACAUCUAGAAAGUGACAUGACUCCCAUCCCAGGGUAAAACAUGGUUAUGAAGAUGCUAUUGGACUUUCACAGUAAUAUAAUUAAACGUUUGUUAACACUCACAUGAUUUGCAUCCCUAGAGUAACACGUGUUUAUGCAAUUCUUUUUGCACUGUUGCAGCCACAUUAUUAAAUGUUUAUUAACGGUUUCUCUGAGAAGAUAUAUGAAAUUUUUUGAUAUAAAGAUAUUGAUGCAGUGUGUAUUACAAGAGACGACUACAGCCCAAUAAUGAAAACUAUGCAGGCAAGCAAUUCAUGUAACUUCAGUUUUGUAACUCUUAAAAACUCUUGUAAGUUAUAUGUGUAUUGACUAUUUGAUGUUGGUUCAAGCAAUUAAAAAUUAUAUCAGUUUGGUGAUUAUAUGUCUCAUGAGAGCAUUUUUGAAGUUACAGAUAACAGAAGAAAUUUCCUGAACUAUAUCAUAGAGUGAAAUAAGGAACUGAAAAUGCUUAACCAUCUCUCAUUUCUUAGCAAGUGCCAUCAUCCUGUUCAUUAAAUUUUGAUUCUGCACUGUGUUGUUCAUUAUAAAUUCCAUUCAGAUAACACAGAUUUGCAAUUAAUUUUUCAAUGUUUUUAUUCAUACCACUUUCUCUAUACUUUCCCCAAAUCAUACAAAUUGUCUUUCCGUAAGAAGAAAAUGAGCAUAACAGGAUUGAUUGAUGCCAGUAAUAUACAGUGCUGACAUGGAAAUAGGAGUGUUAUGAAACUGCAAACAGUGAUCUCCCCUCCUUUCAUCAUAGAUUUGCAUAAUUCUAUAAUCAGGUAUGACGACUCUGUAUCUGUAAUAUGUCUACUCAAUUUAGGAUUAUAUUUAUUCAAAAUAAUCCUUGUUUUUAGAAACCAAAUCAUUAUUUAUAAUGUAAGGAUAUGCACCAACUUGUCAUUCCAUAAAAGACUAACAUUUUAACAGACAUAAAUAUGGAUAGCUCUACUGAUUUUAAUAAGCAUAUUCCAAUUCACAAUAAUAAAAUCCUGUCUCCUUUUCAAUCUCAGUUUACAGCAACCAUGGAAGAGUAAUCCUUGAAGCAUAUAGAUAUAAGAAAUAAUUCAAAUGGUAAACCUCUAUGCAGUAACAUUUGAAAGCUUGCCACCUGGCAUUGAUAACUACAUGGAGAAGUCACUUCUUCAAGCUUGCAACUGGGUCCUCUGAGGGACGGCUACUCCAAGCAGCUAGAACAUGACUGGUGCCUGUCACCCAGAGGACCUUUUCAUUGGCCGUGGAAUGACCAGCUGGAAGAGCUCCAACAGUUAAAAGAGCUAUUGAAAUUUUUUAAACCAUCUAAAGAACUAUCUCUUCCAGCAUGCCUACCCAGCUAGUUUUAAGCAUGAAUUUUAAACUCAUGUCCUGUUUCAUCCCUGUUUUGUGCAUUUUAAUAUGUAUUUUUAAAAUUAUGUUUUAAUAUAUAUUUUUCAUAGAAAUACAUUCUAAUAUGUGUAUUUGUAGUAUUUUUUUUACACUAUGUGUUUUAAUUAUUCUGUAACCCGCCUUGUGCCACGAGGAGUGGUUGGUAAGAAAUAAAAUUAUUGUUGUUGUUGUUGUUGUUGUUGUUAUUUUAAAAUUUCCCAAACCAAAUGUGGUCCUGGGUGGGAAGGUUUAAGAAACCA